UUGUGAGGGUGUGUGACAAGUUGUUCAGAAGGAGUUGUGUGAACCAAGUUGAUUUCCAGUGGUUUACCCAGAAGAGUGUUAGAAAUCUGUUGUAGGGUUGAGAGAUUACCUGCAACCAAAAUGCUGAGACAGGAACGUCAUAAGUCCUUAGUUCAUCCCAAAUAUGGCGUACAGCAUCUGUGCCACCCUGCAUUCCAACUAUAGCACCGGAUAUUAUCCAAUCCGGAAGCUCAGGUAGCCUUCCAAUGUUUUCUGUGAAACGUUCAAUCAGUUCACAAGGUCUUGUUAGAUCGAAGACAGUAUAAUCAUAUCCUUCGAGGUAGACAGAUCUCAUUUUGGAUGUUAUGUAGAAUGGAGAAGGAGCAUAAGUUGUACUCCAAUCACCUCCUGCCCUGCCAA